rnacentral:rRNA from 1 species
UACGAAGGGGGCUAGCGUUGUUCGGAAUUACUGGGCGUAAAGCGCGCGUAGGCGGUGAUCUUUGUCAGAGGUGAAAUCCCGAGGCUCAACUUCGGAAUUGCCUUUGAAACGGGAUCGCUUGAGUCCGAGAGAGGAUGGCGGAAUUCCUAGUGUAGAGGUGAAAUUCGUAGAUAUUCGCAAGAACACCAGUGGCGAAGGCGGCUCACUGGCCCGAUACUGACGCUGAGGCACGAAGGCGUGGGGAGCAAACAGG